ensembl:lncRNA
CAAUACCUGAUCAAAAGAUGCUAGGUUCAGAGGAUAGAUUGAGACAUAUUUGGAGAGCCAUGGCUAAUGUUGGAAUUUUUUUUUACUAGAUAUAAUUAAAAAAGGAGUCUUGUUUUUUGUGUUUUCUCAGUUGAAGGGAUGGGGAUGGGGUACUAAGAAGGGGAGAAGGCAGAUCUUCAUUUGAAAAGAAAAGAAAAUUUGAAGUGAAUUUAUCAAAAACAAUGUUUUUGAAGUUCACAGACCUCUGGUUAAGAACUCUACAGUUACACAGAUUUCCCUCACAAUUAAUGAGUUAAAUUGUGUACAUUAAACUUAAGCUUUGGGUAGGUAAAGUAAUUUUACACUGUAAAACUGCCUCCUUCCUAUAAGGUCUCCCACCCCACCUCCAUCCCCUUUGAAACAUUGGGGGUGGGGUGGGGAGUAAAUACACCUACUUGUACUUUCUGGCUUUGUGUUUAACUAACUUCUAUAGGCUUUCUAUAGAAAUAAGCAUUUUUGUCUCGUUCUAAUCAUUAUAAACCAAGUCACACAAGCAUUGUUUAAACAAUUUUGCUCUGAAUUCUCUAGUCAGGGUUUCCAGCACUUCAUCUCCAGACCAAAGACUCUUUUUCUGUCCAAAUCUGGAAUUUCCUGUGGAAGGGAGUAAAAAAACACCUAAUUGCUUUCAAGGAAAACAGAUUUGAAAAUUCAGGGACAGCUGUUGAGCAUAUUGUAAAAUCUGCUCUUGGCUCCUGACCAGGAAGGCCUCCUUCUUCACUGCUGGCUGUGUCUGGGAUGGCAGAGAGUGUCAGCCGGCUUAGCAGAACAGAAGCACUAACCAAUGGAUACCAGGAAUCACAAGUGGAAUCUGCUGCCUCUCCCCUUAAACCCACACCUGGAAAGGCACCCCAGAAAAGAUGCGAUAUAGCUGUCAGGUGAUUCCUGGGCUGCUGCUUCUAAUGACUUAAUUAUAUUGUCUGUUCAUGCCCUUCCAUCAUCAUCUGGGAAGAAAUUACUAAUUGUUCAUUGGGAAGAAGAAGAAUUUU